rnacentral:lncRNA from 1 species
CUGUAUUUUUUCAUUGAACCAGCUCCUCUUCUUUAUUAAUUCAGUAGUUCUUUUACUUUCAAUUUUAUUAAUUUCUGCUUUGAGGGUUAGGAUUUACUAAUUAGUGUUUAAUUGGGGAUUUUUACUUUGUUCUUUUUCUCUGGUUUAUUUUGGUUGCCUGCCCUGAUUCAGUGCUGUAUCUACAUCAUAAUAUUUGAUAUUGCUUGUAGGAGCCGCUGUGAGCAGUCUUCACCAUUCCAUUCUCUUGAGCACACAUGGAUGUUUGCUUCAUUCAUUUACCUCCACCUUAAACACACCCAUUCUCUUACAUUUGUCAUCUCCUCAUUUUUCUUUUUAUCCUGGAGGGACACCAGAUGGAACCAAAAGACCAUGUUAUUUAAGUCAACGAGUCAAAAACUAAAACCUUAAUUUACAACGAAAAAGUUUUUUUAAAAAAUAAACAAUCUAAAUGACUACUUUCCUGAGCCUGU